rnacentral:rRNA from 1 species
UACGUAGGGGGCUAGCGUUAUCCGGAUUUACUGGGCGUAAAGCGCGUUAAGGCGGCUUGUUAAGUUGAUUGUGAAAUUUCAGGGCUCAACCCUGAAACUGCGUUCAAUACUGGCAAGCUGGAGUGUGAGAGAGGAAGAUGGAAUUCCCGGUGUAGUAGUGAAAUGCGUAGAUAUCGGGAGGAACACCAGUGGCGAAGGCGGUCUUCUGGCUCAUAACUGACGCUGUAGCGCGAAAGCGUGGGGAGCGAACGGGAUUAGAUACCCCGGUAGUCCACGCCCUAAACGUUGUGUACUAGGUGUUGGGCAUAUUGACGUGCUCAGUGCCGCAGCUAACGCAUUAAGUACACCGCCUGGGAAGUACGGCCGCAAGGUUAAA